rnacentral:rRNA from 1 species
UGGGGAAUAUUGCACAAUGGGCGCAAGCCUGAUGCAGCCAUGCCGCGUGUAUGAAGAAGGCCUUCGGGUUGUAAAGUACUUUCAGCGGGGAGGAAGGGAGUAAAGUUAAUACCUUUGCUCAUUGACGUUACCCGCAGAAGAAGCACCGGCUAACUCCGUGCCAGCAGCCGCGGUAAUACGGUGGGUGCAAGCGUUAAUCGGAAUUACUGGGCGUAAAGCGCACGCAGGCGGUUGGUUAAGGCAGAUGUGAAAUCCCCGGGCUCAACCUGGGAACUGCAUCAGAUACUGGCAAGCUGGAGUCUCGGAGAGGGGGGUAGAAUUCCAGGUGUAGCUGUGAAAUGCGUAGAGAUCUGGAGGAAUACCGGUGGCGAAGGCGGCCCCCUGGACGAAGACUGACGCUCAGGUGCGAAAGCGUGGGGAGCAAACAGG